GGGCUAGUACUGGUUUCGACGGGGAUUUUGAAGUUUGGGAAGCCAUCCGUGGACUCCGGGACCACGAUAAAACCUGGAAUUAAAUUUAAACGCAGAUAACAAUCAGUUAGCUGUAGCUGCCUAAAUGCAGCUUGUCAGUACGACAGGUUCCCGCGCCUGCCGGCCUGGCAUCAUCCUAAGGCGGGGCACUUUUACUCCAAAGCUUUGCGGAGCAAAAAGAACUUAUGAAGCUACCGGGAUCCUAAGCCUGUCAUCCGGCGUCCGAUUUCGGGAAUCUUAAAAGAAUGACUAUGAUGGUAGAAGCCAGAUGAAUAGGUUUUCGGACGCGGGUUCGAUUCCCGCCUGGUCCAUAA
rnacentral:tmRNA from 1 species